rnacentral:rRNA from 1 species
AUUGAACAUCGACAUCUUGAACGCACAUUGCGGCUUCGGGUCACUCCCGGAGCCACGCCUGUCCGAGGGUCGGCAAACUGUCAUCGCCACGCUCUAGGAUUUUGUCUCGUUGGCCCGGUUCGUGGGCGCGAGACGGGGUCCGUGGCGCAUUCUGCGCGUCGAGGGGGAGGCAAUGGAGAGAGAGAGGGUCGGACGACCCGAUCUUUGUUUGUUUUUUUUUCCCCCCCGUCCGCGGUGAGAUUCGGCCAGUUGCUGUCGGUCGAUCUCCCCACCACGCAGGCCAGCGGUUCGUGUUGGCCAGCACCCCCUCCUUGUUCGGAGUCAUCCACUCUGUCUCGCACGUGGGAGUUGACGUUGCGCGGAUCGUUCGCUCGCACUCCUCACCGUUGAGACCAGAGACUUGGGAGAACCGAUAGUGGGGACGGCGAGAUCACGAUGCCAAAAAAUCUAUUCGAUCUCCGACCUCGGAUCAGACGAGACUACCCGCUGAACUUAAGCAUAUCAGUAAGCGGAGGAAAAGAAACUAACAAGGAUUCCCCUAGUAACGGCGAGUGAAGCGGGGAAAGAGCCA